rnacentral:rRNA from 1 species
CCUACGGGGUGCAGCAGUGGGGGAUAUUGCACAAUGGGGGAAACCCUGAUGCAGCGACGCCGCGUGUGGGAAGACGGUCUUCUGGAUUGUAAACCACUGUCCCCAGGGACGAAAAUGACGGUACCUGGGGAGGAAGCUCCGGCUAACUACGUGCCAGCAGCCGCGGUAAUACGUAGGGAGCAAGCGUUGUCCGGAAUUACUGGGUGUAAAGGGAGCGUAGGCGGGGAUGCAAGUUGGGUGUCAAAACUACCGGCUCAACCGAUAGUCGCACUCAACACUGCAGCUCUUGAGUGAAGUAGAGGCAGGCGGAAUUCCUAGUGUAGCGGUGACAUGCGUAGAUAUUAGGAGGAACACCAGUGGCGAAGGCGGCCUGCUGGGCUUUUACUGACGCUGAGGCUCGAAAGUGUGGGGAGCAAACAGGAUUAGAUACCCUAGUAGUC